rnacentral:rRNA from 1 species
UGUAUCCUACGGGACGCAGCAGUGGGGAAUAUUGCACAAUGGGGGGAACCCUGAUGCAGCGACGCCGCGUGAGUGAAGAAGUAUUUCGGUAUGUAAAGCUCUAUCAGCAGGGAAGAAAAUGACGGUACCUGACUAAGAAGCCCCGGCUAACUACGUGCCAGCAGCCGCGGCAAUACGUAGGGGGCAAGCGUUAUCCGGAUUUACUGGGUGUAAAGGGAGCGUAGACGGCAGAGCAAGUCUGAAGUGAAAGCCCGCGGCCCAACUGCGGGACUCCUCUGGAAACUGCCCGGC